GACGAACCGUGCAAACGUUGUUCGGAAUCACUGGGCUUAAAGGGCGCGUAGGCGGCUAACCAAGUCAGUGGUGAAAUCCUGCAGCUUAACUGUAGAAGUGCCUUUGAUACUGGUUGGCUCGAGGGAGGUAGGGGUAUGUGGAACUUCUGGUGGAGCGGUGAAAUGCGUUGAUAUCAGAAGGAACGCCGGUGGCGAAAGCGACGUACUGGACCUCUUCUGACGCUGAGGCGCGAAAGCUAGGGGAGCAAACGGG
rnacentral:rRNA from 1 species